AUUAUUCAUUUGAAUAGCUUUGCUAAAGUUUCUGAAGGAAUAUACUGCAGUCCUUCUGGUGGCUGUUAAUCCUGUAAACAGCUUUAAAAUUGUUAUCAGUGGACUUCAGAACAGCUUUUAAUGUUGUGAACUGUCUUCAAACAGGCCCAUCUUCUCAUAGCAGAUAUAUGGAACUUUUUCUUCAUGUUUCACCUUACCCUAAGGUAUGAACUUACUCUUUCUAUCGUUUAUUUUUUAAAAGAACGAGUGACUAUUACAUUUGUAUGCAGGGUUUAAAAACAUGCUUUUAAAGGAAUAGUUUAUGUGAAAGUAAAUAGUGACAUAAUUUAGAUUUUUUUUUUUUUUUUUUUUAAAUGAACUAAUCCUGCAAUAUAAUAUUAAUAAGUAUAAUUAAUAUAAUACAACUUGUCAGCACUUUCACCUUAAGAUAAACCUUCAUAAUUUAUUUAUUUUUGAAUGUCAUGGAUUGGUGUGAUCUUGUGUGGUAAGGAAAUAUGAAACUGUUACUAUACGGCUUCUGAGAAUUCACAAGCUAAGAAGAAGGACAUGCUAUCUCAUGACACAAGAAAUUGGUAAACCACAAAACUGUUACUUGCCAACUCUCACAACUUUUGGUAUUUAUUAAAAGACUUUGCGAAGAGGAAGAUCUUGUUCUUCUAUAAGUCACAUUCACAUGGGUCAACAUAGGACAAUAAAAAGUGUUCCCAUUCAUAAUUUUCAGAUCUGUCUGAUCUGGAGAGGAUCCAACUGAUUAAUUUUGAGUCUUGUUUUUUUUAUUUAUUUGUUUAUUUUUAUUUUUAAUGUUCAUACUGUAUGAACAUAUUUGCUCAGUUCCAAAACCUAAUGAGCUACUUAAAGAUGCAAUAAGAGAUUCUCUUCAGAAACAUUUUUGUUAUGUUGGUUGAAAGUCUCCUCAUAUCCUGAUGGCAAUCACUAUGUUAAGCGGUCUAAAUGUAUGUUUAAAAAUAUAUAUCAACUGUGGAAGGCGUAGGACCGUAAAAUGUUUUUACUUUCCUUCUGAUCCGACAGCACUGGAAAAGUAUCGACCAAAAGAAAGACAGUCUGGCCUACAAUAAAAAAAGGCUGGAUCAUAAGAGAGGUAAAACCCUGAAUUAAUAUCGGCGUUGCUUUUCCACGCUGGAGACAGCUGCGGGAGUCAAAGGGAAGGAUGAUGCCAUGGUUGCAGUAUUUCUUUUGGACAGGGAACAGAGGGUGAACUUCAGAUCUUUCCCACCAUCCAUCUUGCACCAGUAUGAGUUUUCCUCAAAGACUUCAAAGACCAGCCCAGAACGUCCUCAGAUGAGUGAUCUUCCUAAACCUGGCCAGGCUCAACCAGUCUCAGCUCAACUCUGCCUGACCUUACAUGCCUUUUUCACACCAGCUGUCAGCGCACAUGCAAACGCCCUGCCAGCUUGCUAACGGAAACCUGCCUGAUCCACAUGGAGAAAAUUGCAGUUCUCAAGGAAUACUUGAAUCUUGAGACAUCACACAGAACAGCAUGCAAGGAAUGAAGAAGAGUUGAGCCACUCAACUCUAAAAGGUUUGUCCUUCCAUUAAUAAUUUCACCAAUAUAUAUUUGUAUUUGUUUGUAUAUUUGUAGUCCCCAGGUAUUUUGUGUUUGAGACCUCUCAUUCAAUGCAAGCUGUUCCUUCAAUAUUAGCUAUUUCUUCAAUGCAUGGAUGUCAUAGUAGUGGCUUGAAUCGUGGGUAAAAGUCUGAGUAUUUCUUCACACUGUGGUUCGGAAGAAGGCAGCGACAGUUACUUGUCAUAUAAAUCUUUGGGAGAGACCUUGAUGACUGUGGAAACUGUGUCUUGCGGCACAAGGGCAGCCAUUUUGGAUCUCGGUCACAUCCGAUUUCAUGAAUGGACCACUGUAGGUAAUGAAGGAUGUGUGAAAUCAGAAAGAAGCCAGCUCCCUAAAGCCGGAGAGGGUCUGGCUUGUGGAUGGGCCUUCCUGUUUGGUGGUUGUCUCACUACUGGCUCUGUGUCCUGUAAGUUAACAGUUUCUUUCAGAAAAGAGGAUGUUAGACCACAGGGGGAAGUGUGAAAAGGAACUGUAUCAUUCGAAAAAAGUGAGGGAGGGGGAUUCAAAAAGUGAAGCGCAAGCAGAGUUUAAUCGUAUGUACAAUUACUAAAAGAGUGAAUUGUGAAAUUCAAGACUAUAUGAUAACAUACUUCCACCUUAUGGUUCCUUUGUGUGUAUUAUGAAAUAUUGCUGAGCUCAUUCAUGUACUGUAUCAUGCAAUUGGGCUCUGAGGUUUGUGCAACACUUCCCAAACCUGUGGUCCAACAAACCGAUGAAGCAACUAUUCAUUGAUAAACUCUAUAAUUCUCUCAUAUUUUGAAAGCAACACUGCAGAUUUUACUUGUGAAACUCUUGUUAGCAUUAUAACCGUGUGUGCUGUAAGUUUACACUUUUGUGUUCUUGAACAUUCAUUUAGUUGGUAUUUUGAUUUUCUAAUCUGACUAUAGAAUGAGACAAAAAGUUGGCUUACAUGACCAGCAUUCGGGUUAUUUUCUUGACUCCUCAACCCCCAUGGUACAGACAUUGAACGUGGCAUAGUUGUUGGUACCAGACGGGCUAGUCUGAGUAUUUCAGAAACUGCUGAACUACUGGGAUUUUCAUGCACAACCAUCUCUAGGGAUUACAGAGAAUGGUUUGAAAAAGAGAAAAUAUCUAGUGUGCGGCAGUUCUGUGGGCUAAAAUGCCUUGUUGAUGCCAGAGGUCAGAGGAGAAUGGCAAGACUGGUUCGAGCCGAUAGAAAGGCAACAGUAACUACUUGUUAAUACCAAGGUCUGCAGAAGAGCAUCUCUGAACACACAAAAUGUUGGACCUUGAAGCAGAUGGGCUAUAGCUGAAGACCACACUGGGCACUACACCUGUCAGCUAAGAACAGGAAACUGAGGCUACAAUUCACACUGGCUCACCAAAAUUAGACAAUAGAAGAUUGAAAAAAACGUUGCCUGUUCUGAUGAGUCUUGAUUUCUGCUGCGAAAUUCAGAUGGUAUGGUCGGAAUUUGGCGUAAACAACAUGAAAGCAUGGAUCCAUCCUGCCUUGUAUCAGUGGUUCAGGCUGCUGCUGGUGGUGUAAUUGUGGGGAAUACUUUCUUGACACACUUCUUGGGCCCCUUUGUACCAGUUGAACAUUGUUUAAACGCCACAACCUAUCUAAGUAUUGAUGCUGAUCAUGUCCAUCCCUUUAUGACUACAGUAAGUCCAUCUUCUGAUGGCUACUUCCAGCAGGAUAACAUGCCAUGUCACAAAGCUCAAAUCAUCUCAAACUGGUUUCUUGAACAUAACAAUGAGUUCACUUUACUCAAAUGGCCUCCACAGUGUCCAGAUGUCAAUCCAAUAGAGCACCUUUGGGAUGUGGUGGAAUGGGAGAUUCGCAUCAUGGAUUGCAGCUAACAAAUCUGCAGCAACUGCAAAAUCUCUGAGGAAUGUUUCCAGCACCUUGUUGAAUCUAUGCCACAAAGAAUUAAGGCAAAAGGGGUUCCAACCCGGUAUUAGCAAGGUGUACCUAAUAAAGUGGCCGGUGAGUGUCUAAGAGACAAUUAAAGGGUUAAUUCACCCAAAAAUUAAAUUUCUGUCUUUAACUACUCACUCUCCUCCUUGUCAUUCUCCUAUGCUGUUUAUGUUCAGCACUU